GCAGACACAUUCCAGCCAAUCAGCAGCAGACCCUCCCUCCCAGACUCUCCCACCUCCUGGACAGCUCACUAAGAAUGCAGCUUCACAAUGAAUAUAAAAUGGAUGCUGUCCAGGAGGUGGGAGGGUCUGGGAGGGAGGGUCUGCUGCUGAUUGGCUGGAAUGUGUCUG